rnacentral:rRNA from 1 species
UGCGUAGGCGGAAUAUUAAGUCAGUGGUGAAAUCCUGCGGCUCAACCGUAGAACUGCCAUUGAUACUGAUAUUCUUGAAUGUAGUUGAGGUAGGCGGAAUGUGUAAUGUAGCGAUGAAAUGCUUAGAUAUUACACAGAACACCGAUUGCGAAGGCAGCUUACUAAACUAUGAUUGACGCUGAGGCACGAAAGCGUGGGGAGCGAACAGGAUUAGAUACCCUGGUAGUCC